UCCCUGGUAGUAUAUCGGUUAGUACACGCGCCUGUCAUAAUAUCUGAGUGGCGCGCGAAAGCUGGGUUCGACUCCCAGCCAGGGAG